rnacentral:rRNA from 1 species
UGGGGAAUCUUGCACAAUGGGCGAAAGCCUGAUGCAGCGAUUCCGCGUGGAGGAUGACGCAUUACGGUGUGUAAACUCCUUUUCUGGUGGAAGACGAAUGACGGUACACCAGGAAUAAGGGACGGCUAACUACGUGCCAGCAGCCGCGGUAAUACGUAGGUCCCAAGCGUUAUCCGGAUUUACUGGGCGUAAAGUGUCCGUAGCCCGAUAUAUAAGUCAGUUUUCAAAUGUCCUGGCUCAACCAGGAAAAGGGAAUAGAUACUGUAUAUCUAGAGAAUAUUGGAGGUUAGUGGAAUUUCCGGUGGAGCGGUGAAAUGCGUUGAUAUCGGAAAGAACGCCGAAAGCGAAAGCAGCUAACUAUGAUUAUUCUGACGGUGAUGGACGACAGCUUGAGUAGCAAACGGG